UACGUAGGGUGCGAGCGUUAAUCGGAAUUACUGGGCGUAAAGCGUGCGUAGGCGGUUCGUUAUGUCUGCUGUGAAAUCCCCGGGCUCAACCUGGGAACUGCAUUUGUGACUGCACGGCUCGAGUGCGGCAGAGGGGGAUGGAAUUCCGCGUGUAGCAGUGAAAUGCGUAGAUAUGCGGAGGAACACCGAUGGCGAAGGCAAUCCCCUGGGCCUGCACUGACGCUCAUGCACGAAAGCGUGGGGAGCAAACAGG
rnacentral:rRNA from 1 species